GAUGAACGCUAGCUACAGGCUUAACACAUGCAAGUCGAGGGGCAGCAUGAACAUAGCUUGCUAUGUUUGAUGGCGACCGGCGCACGGGUGCGUAACACGUAUCCAAUCUGCCCGUUACUCGGGGAUAGCCUUCUGAAAGGAAGAUUACUACCCGAUGGCAUUCAUUGGCGGCAUCGCUUUUGAAUUAAAGAUUUAUCGGUAACGGAUGAGGAUGCGUACGAUUAGCUAGUUGGCGGGGUAACGGCCCACCAAGGCUACGAUCGUUAGGGGUUCUGAGAGGAAGGUCCCCCACACUGGAACUGAGACACGGUCCAGACUCCUACGGGAGGCAGCAGUGAGGAAUAUUGGUCAAUGGGCGAGAGCCUGAACCAGCCAAGUAGCGUGAAGGAUGACUGCCCUACGGGUUGUAAACUUCUUUUGUUUGGGAAUAAAAGACGCUACGUGUAGCGUUCUGCAUGUACCUUACGAAUAAGCAUCGGCUAAUUCCGUGCCAGCAGCCGCAGUAAGAC
rnacentral:rRNA from 1 species